UGCUAGAAAGAUCCAGUUGUUUUAGCGAUACAUAUAAUAAUAAUAAUAAUAAUAAUAAUAAUAAUAAUAAUAAUAAUAAUAAUAAUAAUAAUAAUAAUAAUAAUAAUAAUAAUAAUAAUUUCUAAGUUAAGAUAAAUAUAUCACAUCAUCUUGUGCCGUAGAAAUACAAAAGAUCGUUCUAUUUGUGCAGAGACAAAAAUGUGAAAAGCUAUAGCAUUCACUUUCCGUAAAAGGAACAAGUGUUUGCAACCAAAAUCGUUUAACUAAUGAAAAACGUCACAUUGUGUCUCUUAUGUCACCCUAAACUUCAUCUGAUUAAAUUUUCUUCACUCAAGCAUCUCAAAGUUUUUUCUUAAAAACAACUCAGUUGAGCCACCAAUCUUUGAAGUGAAGUAUCA
rnacentral:lncRNA from 1 species